GUAGAUACCUACCCUCUGGNCGGGGAUAUCGCGGCAUAACCGCAACCAAUACCCGAUAAAAUCUCCGGAUCAAAGGUGUGAUUCCGCCGGAGGAGGGGUCUGCGUUCUAUCAGCUUGUUGGCGAGGUAACGGCUCACCAAGGCUAAGACGGAUACGGGGUGUGAGAGCAUGCCCCCGCUCACUGGGACUGAGACACUGCCCAGACACCUACGGGUGGCUGCAGUCGAGAAUCUUCGGCAAUGGGCGCAAGCCUGACCGAGCGACGCCGCGUGCGGGAUGAAGGCCUUCGGGUUGUAAACCGCUGUCGAGGGGAAUGAAGUGUAGGUAAGUCAUCUUAUCUAUUUGACAGAUCCCUGGAGGAAGCAUGGGCUAAGUUCGUGCCAGCAGCCGCGGUAAGACGAACCAUGCAAACGUUAUUCGGAUUCACUGGGCUUAAAGCGUGCGUAGGCGGUCUUGUUAGUCAGGUGUGAAAGCCCUCAGCCUAACUGAGGAAUUGCGCUUGAUACUGCAUGACUA
rnacentral:rRNA from 1 species